rnacentral:rRNA from 1 species
AUUGAACGCUGGCGGCGUGCUUAACACAUGCAAGUCGAUCGGUAACGCGGGGGCAACCCUGGCGACGAGAGGCGGACGGGUGAGGAACGCUUGGGAAUCUGCCUAUCAGCGGGGGACAACACGGGGAAACUCGUGCUAAUACCGCAUACGCUCUACGGAGGAAAGCCGGGGACCGCAAGGCCUGGCACUGAUAGAUGAGCCCAAGCCGGAUUAGCUAGUUGGCGGGGUAACGGCCCACCAAGGCGACGAUCCGUAGCUGGUCUGAGAGGACGAGCAGCCCAACUGGAACUGAGACACGGUCCAGACUCCUACGGGAGGCAGCAGUGGGGAAUAUUGGACAAUGGGGGAAACCCUGAUCCAGCGACGCCGCGUGGGUGAAGAAGGCCUGCGGGUUGUAAAGCCCUUUCGGUAGGGACGAAAGCUCUCGACCUAACACGUCGGGAGGUUGACUUAACCUACAGAAGAAGCACCGGCUAACUCUGUGCCAGCCGCCGCAGUAAGAC